AAAAAAGAAUGUGUCCACAGUACACGGAUGCCCCACUCACACUAUCAUUUUCUAUGUUUAAAGGACUGUGAAAUUGGAAUAAAUUCUCUAAUUUGGCAUUAAAAUUAGAAUGAUCUUAUCAAAGGGAACAUGUAUACUAAGUUUCAAGUUGAUUGGACUUCUACUUUAUCAAAAACUACCUUGACCAAAAACUUUAACCUGAAAUUUGCACUAUCAUUUUCUAUGUUCAGUGAACCGUAAAAUUGGGGUCAAAACUCUAAUUUGGCAUUUAAAUUAGAAAGAUCAUAUCAUAGGGCACAUGUAUACUAAGUUUCAAGUUGAUUGGACUUCAACUUCAUCAAAAACUACCUUGACCAAAAACUUUAACCUGAAGCCAAAAACUUUAACCUGAAAUUUGCACUAUCAUUUUCUAUGUUCAGUGAACCGUAAAAUUUGGGUCAAAACUCUAAUUUGGCAUUUAAAUUAGAAAGAUCAUAUCAUAAGGAACAUGUGUACUAAGUUUCAAGUUGAUUGGACUUCAACUUCAUCAAAAACUACCUUGACCAAAAACUUUAACCUGAAGUGGGACAGACGGACGAACGAACAGACGAACGAACGAACGAACGAACAGACGGACGAACGGACGCACAGACCAGAAAACAUAAUGCCCCUCUACUAUCGUAGGUGGGGCAUAAAAAGGGGG
rnacentral:lncRNA from 1 species